rnacentral:lncRNA from 1 species
GUUGCGUGUUUUAUAAAUUAUUUUCUUUAUUUUAGUAAAACGUGAGGCACUGUAUAAUUUUGUUCCCAUUAUUUAGGCCUGUGUGUUUGUCCUAUCUAUCUAUCCAUCCAUCCAUCCAUCCAUCCAUCCAUCCAUCCAUCCAUCCAUCCAUCCAUCUAUCUAUCUAUCUAUCUAUAUCUUCUAUCUAUCUAUCUAUCUAUCUAUCUAUCUAUCUAUCUAUCUAUCUAUCUAUCUAUCUAUCUAUCUAUCUAUCCUAUCUAUCCUAUCUAUCUAUCUAUCUAUCUAUCUAUCCAUCUAUCUAUCUAUCUAUCUAUCUAUCUAUCUAUCUAUCUAUCUGUGUGUUUGUCUAUCUGUCUGUCUUUCUAUCUAUCUAUCUAUCUAUCUAUCUAUCUAUCUAUCUAUCUAUCUAUCUGUGUGUUUGUCUAUCUGUCUGUCUGUCUAUCUAUCUGUUUUAAAUUGUAGCCUUUUUUGCCAUUAUAGACAAAAUGUGGGCAUUAAUUGAGUGGACAGAAAUGGAAGACUCUCUGGACAUUGUAAAGAGAAAAUACAUUCUUCAACUUGUAGUUCAUGAGGGGGAUGUUCUUGAUGUAAAGUAUGCGGAUGAAAGCUCUCCUGCACCAAUUCCUUAAGAUGAAUGGUGAGAUUGGUGAAUGAGUGAAUGCAUGCAUGUUCUAUUUUUUCUGGUUGAACUAUUCAUUUGAAAUAAUGAACCUUUCCUGUACAGAAAAUAAAGACAAGCUGCUGAAGCGUCUAAAUCAGAUGGAGUCAGAGAGAAGGCAAAAAGAGGAGUGCAAGCUGCCUGAAAAGAGAGCAAUAAAAAGGAAAAUAAUAUUCAGUCCAGAAAACCCCCCCAUCAUCAAGUCCAGAUCAAGAGAUUUAAAAAAGUGGAAAAAACACAAAAUGACACUGUUGCUUAAAAAAAUUGAAGAAAAAAACAUAUUUCUCAGGCAACAUAAGAAGGACAAUGUUACGCUGCAACACUGAGUGGUGAAGCACUUAAGAGAGUCCAGUGAUAUUGGUUUCUGAAGAAUGAUGGGCCAUGUUCUGUUCAGAGUGUUUAUUUUCUUCACACUUGUCUCAUUUUAUCUUUAAGCUCUUUUGACUAAUAAAUAAUUCAUAAUUAACAUUUUCUGAAGUCUUUUUUUACUUGUUGUUGAUAUUUAAAAUUUAGACACUACAUUGCUUUUAAAAAGUGUUUUGUUAUACAGGAGGCCCUGCAUAUCCCUUUAGCAGUCCAACAUGAUGACUAUACAUAAUAAUUCAUUAAGAUUUCUGCAGACAUCCCACAGGAACUGUGAAGUGAAGGUCAUGUGACGCUGCUCCACCUGAGAAACGACUGGACUGCUUUUGAGAAACGCCUCAGGACUUUUAUUGUGGCGUGCGUGUGUGACGUCACAAGGCUGCGCCGCGCUCCUGCGUUUGUUGUGAUUCAGCUGAAGAAAGGUUUGUGUUUUUAAGUAUUUCACGUGUUUCAAUCGAUUUGUAAAUGAAGAGUUGCUUACUCGUUAUUGAACGUGACACUGUAAUACUUCACCUAACAUCAACGAACAUUAUUUUGUGCUUGUAAAGCGCAUCCGGACAAUAGAAAAAAGACGUCGUCUCAUUUCGCUCCCAUCAGUUCAGUAUAAAGAAUAAUUUAGUCACUAUCAAGCAGGAAUAUUCUCACUGCUAUGCCCCUAACGAAUCAGCACUGAGUUUUCAUGCUCAUUAAAAUCAGAUUUGCACCUGCACAUCCGACUGAUCACGUCAUCGUUCACUCCGAACAAGACCCGCCCACUGAGGCUCGUGAUUGACAGGUGAACUGGCCAACAGGGCUGAAACAAGUCCGAUAUUUAAAGGUAAAAUCAAAUCAACACGGGACGCGAUUUGAGCUUGGUAGACAUACAUAUUAUAUUUUUAGACAUGAUUAGUCAGAUGAAUUAAUAGAUUCUAAUUAAUGUUUGACCCUAUUUAUUAAUUUAUAUUAAUCAUAAAUGUAUACAUAAUAAAUAAUCAUGUCAUAAACAAUUUGGUAUUUUAAAAAGUUGAAAAAAGCUAAAUUGUUCAGAUAAAAAUGGGGAAAAUAAUUGCAUAAUAAUGUAUCCCUA